GUGGGGAAUAUUGGACAAUGGGCGAAAGCCUGAUCCAGCAAUGUCGCGUGAGUGAUGAAGGCCUUAGGGUUGUAAAGCUCUUUUACCAGGGAUGAUAAUGACAGUACCUGGAGAAUAAGCUCCGGCUAACUCCGUGCCAGCAGCCGCGGUAAUACGGAGGGAGCUAGCGUUGUUCGGAAUUACUGGGCGUAAAGCGCACGUAGGCGGCUACUCAAGUCAGAGGUGAAAGCCCGGGGCUCAACCCCGGAACUGCCUUUGAAACUAGGUAGCUAGAAUCUUGGAGAGGUCAGUGGAAUUCCGAGUGUAGAGGUGAAAUUCGUAGAUAUUCGGAAGAACACCAGUGGCGAAGGCGACUGACUGGACAAGUAUUGACGCUGAGGUGCGAAAGCGUGGGGAGCAAACAGGAUUAGAAACCCCAGUAGUCC
rnacentral:rRNA from 1 species